rnacentral:rRNA from 1 species
UCCAGACUCCUACGGGAGGCAGCAGUGAGGAAUAUUGGUCAAUGGGCGCGAGCCUGAACCAGCCAAGUCGCGUGAGGGAAGACGGCCCUACGGGUUGUAAACCUCUUUUGUCGGGGAGCAAAGCGAGUCACGUGUGACUCAUUGAGAGUACCCGAAGAAAAAGCAUCGGCUAACUCCGUGCCAGCAGCCGCGGUAAUACGGAGGAUGCGAGCGUUAUCCGGAUUUAUUGGGUUUAAAGGGUGCGUAGGCGGACUGUUAAGUGAGGGGUAAAAGCCGGGGUCUCAACCGCGGCGAGCCGUUGAAACUGGCUGUCUUGAGAUGUCGAGAGGUAUGCGGAAUGCGCAGUGUAGCGGUGAAAUGCUUAGAUAUUGCGCAGAACUCCGAUUGCGAAGGCAGCAUACCGGCGGCGAUCUGACGCUGAGGCACGAAAGCGUGGGUAUCGAACAGGAUUAGAUACCCCUGUA